rnacentral:rRNA from 1 species
UGGGGAAUUUUGGACAAUGGGCGAAAGCCUGAUCCAGCCAUGCCGCGUGAGUGAAGAAGGCCUUCGGGUUGUAAAGCUCUUUUAGUCGGAAAGAAAGAGUUGCAAUGAAUAAUUGUGAUUUAUGACGGUACCGACAGAAAAAGCACCGGCUAACUACGUGCCAGCAGCCGCGGUAAUACGUAGGGUGCGAGCGUUAAUCGGAAUUACUGGGCGUAAAGGGUGCGCAGGCGGUUUUGCAAGUCAGUUGUGAAAGCACCGGGCUUAACCUGGGAAUUGCGUUUGAAACUACAAGACUAGAGUGCAGCAGAGGGGAGUGGAAUUCCAUGUGUAGCAGUGAAAUGCGUAGAGAUGUGGAAGAACACCGAUGGCGAAGGCAGCUCCCUGGGUUGACACUGACGCUCAUGCACGAAAGCGUGGGGAGCAAACA